rnacentral:rRNA from 1 species
ACGAAGGGGGCUAGCGUUGUUCGGAAUUACUGGGCGUAAAGCGCACGUAGGCGGAUAUUUAAGUCAGGGGUGAAAUCCCAGAGCUCAACUCUGGAACUGCCUUUGAUACUGGGUAUCUUGAGUAUGGAAGAGGUAAGUGGAAUUCCGAGUGUAGAGGUGAAAUUCGUAGAUAUUCGGAGGAACACCAGUGGCGAAGGCGGCUUACUGGUCCAUUACUGACGCUGAGGUGCGAAAGCGUGGGGAGCAAACAG